rnacentral:rRNA from 1 species
UACGUAGGGUGCGAGCGUUGUCCGGAAUUACUGGGCGUAAAGAGCUCGUAGGGGGUUUGUCGCGUUGUUCGUGAAAACUCACAACUCAAUUGUGGGCGUGCGGGCGAUACGGGCAGACUGGAGUACUGCAGGGGAGACUGGAAUUCCUGGUGUAGCGGUGGAAUGCGCAGAUAUCAGGAGGAACACCGGUGGCGAAGGCGGGUCUCUGGGCAGUAACUGACGCUGAGGAGCGAAAGCGUGGGGAGCAAACAGG